GCCCUACGGGGUGCAGCAGGCGCGAAAACUUUACAAUGCUGGCAACAGCGAUAAGGGAACCUCGAGUGCCAGGUUACAAAUCUGGCUGUCGAGAUGCCUAAAAAGCAUUUCAUAGCAAGGGCCGGGCAAGACCGGUGCCAGCCGCCGCGGUAACACCGGCGGCUCGAGUGGUAACCGUUAUUAUUGGGUCUAAAGGGUCUGUAGCCGGCCGGAUAAGUCUCUUGAGAAAUCUGGCAGCUUAACUGUCAGGCUUUCAGGAGAUACUGUCUGGCUCGAGGCCGGGAGAGGUGAGAGGUACUUCAGGGGUAGGGGUGAAAUCUUGUAAUCCUUGAAGGACCACCAGUGGCGAAGGCGUCUCACCAGAACGGACCUGACGGCAAGGGACGAAAGCUAGGGGCACGAACCGGAUUAGAUACCCGGGUAGUCCUAGCCGUAAACGAUACUCGCUAGGUGUCGGCCACGGUGCGACCGUUGUCGGCGCCGUAGGGAAGCCGUGAAGCGAGCCACCUGGGAAGUACGGCCGCAAGGCUGAAACUUAAAGGAAUUGGCGGGGGAGCACCACAACGGGUGGAGCUUGCGGUUUAAUUGGAUUCAACGCCGGAAAUCUUAC
rnacentral:rRNA from 1 species